rnacentral:rRNA from 1 species
UCCAGACUCCUACGGGAGGCAGCAGUGGGGAAUAUUGGGCAAUGGGCGCAAGCCUGACCCAGCAACGCCGCGUGAAGGAAGAAGGCUUUCGGGUUGUAAACUUCUUUUGACAGGGAAGAGCAGAAGACGGUACCUGUCGAAUAAGCCACGGCUAACUACGUGCCAGCAGCCGCGGUAAUACAUAGGAUGCAAGCGUUAUCCGGAUUUACUGGGCGUAAAACGAGCGCAGGCGGGUUAACAAGUUCGGUAUGAAAGGCUUUUGCUUAACGAAAGUUUGUAUCAAAAACUGUUAAUCUAGAGUGUAGUAGAGAGUUCUGGAAUUCCAUGUGGAGCGGUGGAAUGCGUAGAUAUAUGGAAGAACACCAGUGGCGAAGGCGAGAACUUAGGCUAUCACUGACGCUUAGGCUCGAAAGUGUGGGGAGCAAAUAGGAUUAGAUACCCCGGUAA